AGAAGGCACUUCAACUUGGAUUGCAAGUAAUUGCAGAGAUUAAGGGCUAUGCUGAUGCAGCUCAGGCACCUGAAUUCUUUACAACUGCUCCAGCCCUUGUGAUACCAAAAGCUAUUUCAAAUGCUGGUUUAGAUGCUUCUCAGAUUGAUUACUAUGAAAUAAAUUAAGCAUUUUCUGUUGUAGCUCUAGCCAAUCAAAAGCUGCUUGGUCUUAAUCCUGUGAGUUUGGAGAAAACUAGAUAAUUUCUUUCAAGUUGAUUUACUUUAUAUUCUUACAGGUGGAAACUAGCUUAAGUCUUGUGUUCUU